rnacentral:rRNA from 1 species
UACGUAGGGGGGCAAGCGUUGUCCGGAUUUAUUGGGUCGUAAAGGGCGCGUAGGCGGUUUCUUAAGUUUGGAGUGACAGUGGGUGGCUUAACUACCCAAGGCCUCUGAAAACUGGGGAACUUGAGGACCAGAGAGGGACAUAGAAUUCCGGGUGGAGUGGUGAAAUGCGUAGAUAUCCGGAGGAAUACCAAAGGCGAAGGCAGUGUCCUGGAGGGUGACUGACGCUGAGGCGCGAAAGCUAGGGGAGCGAACAGG